UGGUGCUGAAAAGGUUCGACUUCGCGCAUCGAAUCAAGGGAAGCGUGCUGGUGCAGGCAAGAGACCACCAUAAGCGUCGUUGCAACAAUAUAAGCGCCGAUUCACAUCAGCGCGACUAUGCUCUCGCUGCUUAAGCGACGGCUAGUCUGUCAGACCGGGAACGCCCUCGCCCCGGAGUCUGGCAUCAGCUAGAGGGAUCCACCGAUGAGUUUGGUCGCGGGACUCAUCGGGACACCUACAGCGACUGGGAUCGUCAUCCUGGCUAGUUCGCGGGAUCAGGAGAUCUGAGCAGAGGCAUAGCGAACUGCGCACGGAGAAGCCUUGAAGGAAUGCCGUAGGACCCGGGUUCGAUUCCGGGG
rnacentral:tmRNA from 1 species